AGAGGCAGGUGGAUCUCUGAGUUUGAGGCCAGCCUGGUCUACAAAGGGAGUUCUAGGACAGCCAGAGUUACCCAGAGAAACCCUGUAUGGAGAA
rnacentral:miRNA from 1 species